rnacentral:rRNA from 1 species
GACGAACGCUGGCGGCGUGCCUAACACAUGCAAGUCGAGCGAGAAAGUCCCUUCGGGGGCGAGUACAGCGGCGAACGGGUGAGUAACACGUGGGCAACCUGCCCCAACGGAGCGGGACGAACCUCGGGAAACCGGGGCUAAUACCGCAUGACCCGCCACGGCUCAAGCCGUGUCGGCAAAAGGUCGCUUCGGCCUCCGCCUUGGGAUGGGCCCGCGGCGCAUUAGCUUGUUGGUGAGGGUAACGGCCCACCAAGGCGACGAUGCGUAGCUGGUCUGAGAGGACGAUCAGCCACACUGGGACUGAGACACGGCCCAGACUCCUACGGGAGGCAGCAGUGGGGAAUAUUGGACAAUGGGCGAAAGCCUGAUCCAGCGACG